UCCGCGGUGAUCUCAGCAGCGGUUCUCCUUCUCCUCUCGUGCCUUCUUCCAUCGACCCUCGCCGAUCCCAUACGGUAACAGCUACACAACAGAAGUUGGAGAUGGAUGGUGAAGGUGAGAAGAAGAAUCCAGAGACGUGACGAAGAAAAGGCUUGCAACGUUGAUAAGACAUGGGUUCUCUGUAGUCUUUAUUGUUCAAGUCCACUUAAUCAUGAUUGUUGGAUUUGUUAAUAAAACAUGUGUCAAACACUUGUUAUUUGUUUAAUAGAAUUGCGUUUAAAUUUAUUUACUAA